CGCAGCGACGCGCGUGAGGGAAGAAGGCCUUCGGGUUGUAAACCUCUUUCAGCAGGGACGAAGCUACUCGGGUUAACAGCCCAGAGGGUGACGGUACCUGUAGAAGAAGCCCCGGCCAACUACGUGCCAGCAGCCGCGGUAAUACGUAGGGGGCAAGCGUUGUCCGGAUUUACUGGGCGUAAAGAGCGUGUAGGCGGCCAAGCAGGUCUGUUGUGAAAACUGGAGGCUCAACCUCCAGACGUCGACAGAAACCGCUUGGCUAGAGUCCGGAAGAGGAGAGUGGAAUUCCUGGUGUAGCGGUGAAAUGCGCAGAUAUCAGGAAGAACACCAAUGGCGAAGGCAGCUCUCUGGGACGGUACUGACGCUGAGACGCGAAAGCGUGGGGAGCGAACAGGAUUAGAUACCCUGGUAGUCCACGCCGUAAACGAUGGGUGCUAGGUGUGGGGGGUGUCGACUCCCUCCGUGCCGCAGCUAACGCAUUAAGCACCCCGCCUGGGGAGUACGGCCGCAAGGCUA
rnacentral:rRNA from 1 species